GUGGGCUGGGACACAGUAGGCAGGAGGAGAACGAAACUCCCCAUGACUUGGGGGAGAAGGAUGGGACGAUGGGACGAAGGAACUGCAGGAGAGAAAGCUAACCAACCAGGUGAGAAUUCAGAUAUUCACCUGGGGCGAAAUGGAUUCAUUGCAAAGAUGAAGGAGACUGCCACCUUCUGUAGGACAUACCAUGCCAGCAAGCCUGCCUACCUUCGUGGACCUGAAUAGUGACAGAGACUCCCUAGAUCACUUUUUUGCCAGUCCCUCUGGUCAGCAGAACACCUUAUCCUUUUUUGCGCACCAGAACAGCAGACUCCGUGAAGUCAGAGCAACAACACUACGGUUUGCAUUCUUACUCAGCAGCUGCUUGUCAUCCCACAAGAAAUGUCGGAAAAUGAAAACGACUAAAAGCUGAGAACAAAGGAAAGAGAGGAGCAAUCUAUCCUGUGUCAUAGUUGCAAAACCAUCUAUGAGCAGAAAGGGCUCACAGUGUGGCAACUGGCACCACAGAGGUUAAGCCGUGCGUGCCUCAGCUGCCCUGUCACAGAGUGUGAGGAUUAACAGCACGGAGUCACACGGACCUAAACUUGAACUUCAGCUCCCAGGACUGAAGACAGAAGCAUCUCUGGGUGGGAAUAUUGUUGUGAGUAUCACAGCACCAAGGUCACAAUUGUCUCUGGGUGUAAGAGCGCCUUGGACUAAGCUCUCUUAACUCCAGAGGCUGUCUACUCCCUGUGAGAAGUAACAGAAGGCCUAUAAGUUUCCUAUCACCCACACUUAGACCUCUGUCUUCAGGAAAGUUUUCUACAGCAACCAUAGCUUCCAUAUGACUUUAUUCCCCACAGUCUCUAAGCUAUAAACUAUCCUUAGGCUGCCUCCGAAAGGAUAUGGCCAAAACCAAAAUAUUCAGGGAUGAAUUCUCAACAUCUGUGAUUGAAUGAAGAAACUGGAAUGCAUCAGGCAAGCCUCUUUCUGGGGACUGGUUAUAGGUUUUUUGGGUUGUUUGUUUGUUUGUUUGUUUUUUGGUUGGUUGCUUGCUUGGUUGGUUGAUGUUGUAGUUAUUGUUGUUAUUGUUGAUGCUGUUGCUGUUGUGAGACAGGGUGACCGGGUCUCUCUGCUGUCCCGGAACAAACAAUGUAGACCAAGUUGGCCUCAACCUCACCAAGAUCCACCUACCUCUGCCUCCCAAGUUUGGGAUUACAAAUGUGUGCCACCUCCCUCUGUUGUCAGUGGUGGUUUUCAACUCUGUUUUUAAAAGAGCUAUGAAGUUCCUCCAGUGCCACCCCCUUCCAGGGUUGGAGGGUUAAGAACCAUCUUUGCUUAUUUAAAGAAGCCUGAGCCACUCAGCUUCUACCCACAACCUCAGCAUCCUCCAUCCUCACCCCUAGCCUAUAGCCCCCACUUUGGAAUGCCGACACUUCCAUAUGGUUUGAGAUUUCAGUUAUUGAGUAAUUUCAAAAUAGUUAUUUCAGCUAUCAGGUUACAUCAUAGGUAACUUUUUGGUGAUCCAUUUUUGUCUAAAGACAUCACCAGCUAAUGGAGACACCUCUGGGGUCGUGGGUGAGGGAGUGCCUGUCGUAGGAAUGUUAGCUUAUCUCCUAAAAGGCUUGCCUCCAAAGAUAAGAAAGCCAAAAAAGCUAGAAGUGUUAAACAGCCUGCCAUGGACAGAGGGCAGAGGGCAGGCCCUAAACCUGAGGUGGGAGACCAGGUCUUGGAUUCCAGAGAUUACAGGCUUUGGACCCAGAAGAUAAAAAUAUAAACAUCUCAUUGUGGAAAUUAAAGUCUGAUGAAACGGGAGGGGAGGGGAGGCAGCUCUUCAUUUGGUACUCCCCACCCCCACCCCCAACUCUGGAAAGUUUCAGUAUUCUUGCCCUCAAGCUUUGGGACAGGAAGUUCUGGUGGAUCACACGUAGAUGUGCUAAAUUCCAAGCAUUUUGUGAAAGCUAGUUGGCUUACCCUGUCUAAGCACAGUGAUGGAAGUCUUCUCUGUAUCCUGCUGGGAAAAUCCCCGUGCUUCUGAUUCACCUCAGAUAAGAGAGACCUGGUCUGGGCGGGAUGGGAGGACUUCAGAAUUCAUGAGGCAUGCUUUCCCUGUGUAAGUGCGGCUGGCACUGAUGCACGCAGACCUGGGUAUGUGGCAGCACCCUUCCCUACCAGGGACCAGCGGAUUCUGAGCACCACUGUCACACAGCUCUGUAGACUGAACCCAAGUCAGAGGAAUCGCAAUGGCGCUCAACCCUUCUCUCAUCGUGGAGCCGUGGAUUCCCAUGAAAUUGACACAUUACACAAUUCUAGACCCAGUUUCUCUCUAAAUUUUGGGAUGAGUACUCAUAGCAUAGGCUCCUCUCUGUCAAAUAGGGGGCUGUGUUCAGGACAGAAGCUAGAAAUUAUAUCCCACGGGAUGGUGAGCUCCAACUGAAGCGGAUUUCAUUUAAAAUCCAGGUCACUCAUCCGGGCGUGGUGGCACACGCCAUUAAUCCCAGCACUGGGGAAGCAGAGG